rnacentral:rRNA from 1 species
GACGAACGCUGGCGGCGUGCUUAACACAUGCAAGUCGAACGGGCCUUGUCCCCUUUUUUUUUGGGGGUGGGGUUAGUGGCGAACGGGUGAGUAACACGUGAGUAACCUGCCCCUCACUUCUGGAUAACCGCUUGAAAGGGUGGCUAAUACGGGGUGUUCUGGCCUGCUCGCAUGGGUGGGUUUGGAAAGAUUCGACCGGUUUUGGUUGUUUUGGGGGGGGAUGGGCUCGCGGCCUAUCAGCUUGUUGGUGGGGUGAUGGCCUGCCAAGGCUUUGACGGGUAGCCGGCCUGAGAGGGUGGGCGGUCACACUGGGACUGAGACACGGCCCAGACUCCUACGGGAGGCAGCAGUGGGGAAUAUUGCACAAUGGGCGCAAGCCUGAUGCAGCGACGCCGCGUGAGGGAUGGAGGCCGUCGGGUUGUGAACCUCUUUCGCCAGUGAAGAAGGUCCUGCUCUUUGUGGUGGGGUUGACGGUAGCUGGGUUAAUGAAGCGCCGGCUAACUACGUG